rnacentral:rRNA from 1 species
GACGAACGCUGGCGGCGUGCUUAACACAUGCAAGUCGAGCGGUAAGGCCCUUUCGGGGGUACACGAGCGGCGAACGGGUGAAUAACACGUGGGUGACCUGCCCUCAGCUCUGGGAUAAGCCCGGGAAACUGGGUCUAAUACCGGAUAUGACUCCACGGUGCAUGUCGUGGGGGUGGAAAGCCCUGUGCGGCUGGGGAUGGGCCCGCGGCCUAUCAGCUUGUUGGUGGGGUGAUGGCCACCAAGGCGACGACGGGUAGCCGGCCUGAGAGGGCGACCGGCCACACUGGGACUGAGACACGGCCCAGACUCCUACGGGAGGCAGCAGUGGGGAAUCUUGCGCAAUGGGCGAAAGCCUGACGCAGCGACGCCGCGUGAGGGAUGAC